UACGGAGGGUGCAAGCGUUAUCCGGAAUCACUGGGCGUAAAGGGCGCGUAGGCGGUUUAAGAAGUCCGAUGUUAAAGCGUGAGGCUCAACCUCAUCAAGGCGUUGGAUACUCUUAGGCUAGACUUCUGGAGAGGCAAGUGGAAUUACCAGUGUAGCGGUGGAAUGCGUAGAUACUGGUAGGAACACCCAUAGCGAAGGCAGCUUGCUGGACAGAGAGUGACGCUGAGGCGCGAAAGUGUGGGGAGCAAACCGG
rnacentral:ncRNA from 2 species